rnacentral:rRNA from 1 species
UACGUAGGGUGCGAGCGUUAAUCGGAAUUACUGGGCGUAAAGCGUGCGCAGGCGGUUUUGUAAGCCAGAUGUGAAAUUCCCGGGCUUAACCUGGGAAUGGCAUUUGGGACUGCAAGGCUGGAGUUUGGCAGAGGAGACUGGAAUUCCCGGUGUAGCAGUGAAAUGCGUAGAUAUCGGGAGGAAUACCGAUGGCGAAGGCAGGUCUCUGGGCAGUAACUGACGCUGAGGAGCGAAAGCGUGGGGAGCGAACAGG